rnacentral:rRNA from 1 species
GAUGAACGCUGGCGGCGUGCCUAAUACAUGCAAGUCGAGCGAACGGACGAGAAGCUUGCUUCUCUGAUGUUAGCGGCGGACGGGUGAGUAACACGUGGAUAACCUACCUAUAAGACUGGGAUAACUUCGGGAAACCGGAGCUAAUACCGGAUAAUAUUUUAAACCGCAUGGUUCAAAAGUGAAAGACGGUCUUGCUGUCACUUAUAGAUGGAUCCGCGCUGCAUUAGCUGGUUGGUAAGGUAACGGCUUACCAAGGCAACGAUGCAUAGCCGACCUGAGAGGGUGAUCGGCCACACUGGAACUGAGACACGGUCCAGACUCCUACGGGAGGCAGCAGUAGGGAAUCUUCCGCAAUGGUCGAAAGCCUGACGGAGCAACGCCGCGUGAGUGAUGAAGGUCUUCGGAUCGUAAAACUCUGUUAUUAGGGAAGAACAUAUGUGUAAGUAACUGUGCACAUCUUGACGGUACCUAAUCAGAAAGCCACGGCUAACUACGUG